UGCCAGUGGCCUCCAGUUGCCCACUAGGUAGCAUCCACAUUCUUUAAUGGAAAGCCCUUCCUUGCUUGGAACUUGCCAACUUGGAUUGGACGUUUGUAGUUGCAUUUCUAAGAACUGUUCCCUUUUGUCAAUGGAGCCUGAUUUCCACUUGGAUAUCUGGGUGAUUUAGGGAAACUGACCUCAAAACCCAAUUCUACAUUUCAACCAUGUGACCUUGGCUUAAUCAAUUCGCACAUCUCUUUCCCUCACCUCAGGGGAUGAUCAUAUGAACUAAGCCAGUUGCAAUAGAGUAAACCUCAUGUUCCUAAUGAGAAACCCAGAACAAAAUGCUUUAUUUUUCUUCAGUUUUUUAUUAAGUCAGCUCCUGAAUCAAUUAAAAAAAAAAAACAACAGUGACAACGAAACUAAAAAAUAUGAAGAGGCUGAAACAUGAAAGCUCUGCCAACUGCAAUAUGUAGCUGCUAAGGUUGCUGUGUUUACUGGCAUCAAGCAAGUGUUCCAGGAAAGAGCACAGAAGAUGUGUCUGGGAGCCUUUAUGUAUAACACUAACAAAGUUGACCUUAGAAUUGGAGUGCCCGGGUUAGAACCUUGCUGGUACCACCUGCUUACUGCAUGCUUCUGAUGUGAGUUCAGGAGAAGCCACUGGCAAGGACAGCAAAGAACAGGAGAACACUCUAGCUUCCCUGAUAGCAUUCAAGGUGCUGUCCAAACUGACUGUGAUGGCACCCUCCAGACAGACAGCGAUGCCACAUGUUCAAGAUGGCAGAAUCACUAACAGCUUCAAUUCCUGAAUGACUGCAGAGCAAAAUUUCUUACCCGCAACAUACACUCUAUUUUCAGCCUCCCUGGACUGUUACAUAAUGAUACAUAAAAAUAUUUCUUGUGUUGAGGCAUCCCAAAUUUGAUCUAUUUGUCAUCACAGUUUAUCCUACGAAUAUAUUUCUGAUCCAAAUAAUGCUAGAUUCAUGAGAGUUUAUAGUCCAGAGAUUUUUUUUUUUUUUUUUUUUUGAGACAGAAUCUCACUGUCUGCCAGGCUGGGGUGCAGUGGCAUAAUCUUAGCUCACUGCAACCUCCGCCUCCUGGGCUCAAGUGAUCCUCCCUCCUUAGCCUCCAUGAAUAGCUGGGACCACAGGUGUGCACCACCCCACCCAGCUAAUUAUUUUGUAUUUUUUGCAGAGACGGGGUUUCACCACAUUGCCCAAGCUGGUCUCAAACUCCUAGACUUAAGGGAUCUUCCCGCCUUGGCCUCCCAAAAUGCUGAAAUUACAUGUGUUAGCCAUAGUAAUAGUUCCUAGCCAUAGUCCAGAGAUAUUUUAAAAACUUUAGUGUGAGUUAUUUCUCUUUGCUAUAAUUCUCUCAUGCAUUUUGAAAACCUUUUCUGCCAUACAGUGGUUUUUGGGAAGUCCUUUUGGACAGACAUAUCACAGGAUGGAGAAACUAAAAA
rnacentral:sRNA from 1 species